AAACCAACAGGGAUUGCCCUAGUAACGGCGAGUGAAGCGGCAACAGCUCAAAUUUGAAAUCUGGCUCCCCUUGGGGGUCCGAGUUGUAAUUUGCAGAGGAUGCUUUGGCAUUGACGGCGGUCUAAGUUCCUUGGAACAGGACAUCACAGAGGGUGAGAAUCCCGUACGUGGUCGCCUGUCCUUGCCAUGUAAAGCUCCUUCGACGAGUCGAGUUGUUUGGGAAUGCAGCUCUAAAUGGGAGGUAAAUUUCUUCUAAAGCUAAAUACCGGCCAGAGACCGAUAGCGCACAAGUAGAGUGAUCGAAAGAUGAAAAGUACUUUGGAAAGAGAGUCAAAAAGCACGUGAAAUUGUUGAAAGGGAAGCGCUUGCAGCCAGACUUGCCCGCAGUUGCUCACCUAGGCUUUCGCCUGGGGCACUCUUCUGCGGGCAGGCCAGCAUCAGUUUGGGCGGUUGGAUAAAGGCCUCUGUCACGUAUCUCCCUUCGGGGUGACCUUAUAGGGGAGGCGCAAUGCAACCAGCCCGGACUGAGGUCCGCGCAUCUGCUAGGAUGCUGGCGUAAUGGCUGUAAGCGGCCCGUCUUGAAACACGGACCAAGGAGUCUAACAUCUAUGCGAGUGUUUGGGUGUCAAGCCCGAGCGCGCAAUGAAAGUGAACGGAGGUGGGAACCCUUUGGGUGCACCAUCGACCGAUCCUGAUGUCUUCGGAUGGAUUUGAGUAAGAGCAUAGCUGUUGGGACCCGAAAGAUGGUGAACUAUGCUUGAAUAGGGUGAAGCCAGAGGAAACUCUGGUGGAGGCUCGCAGCGGUUCUGACGUGCAAAUCGAUCGUCAAAUUUGGGCAUAGGGGCGAAAGACUAAUCGAACCAUCUAGUAGCUGGUUCCUGCCGAAGUUUCCCUCAGGAUA
rnacentral:rRNA from 1 species